UGCAAGUCGAACGAUGAUGCCCAGCUUGCUGGGCGGAUUAGUGGCGAACGGGUGAGUAAUACGUGAGUAACCUGCCCUUGACUCUGGGAUAAGCCUGGGAAACUGGGUCUAAUACUGGAUACUACUUCUUGCCGCAUGGUGGGUGGUGGAAAGGGUUUUACUGGUUUUGGAUGGGCUCACGGCCUAUCAGCUUGUUGGUGGGGUAAUGGCUCACCAAGGCGACGACGGGUAGCCGGCCUGAGAGGGUGACCGGCCACACUGGGACUGAGACACGGCCCAGACUCCUACGGGAGGCAGCAGUGGGGAAUAUUGCACAAUGGGCGGAAGCCUGAUGCAGCGACGCCGCGUGAGGGAUGACGGCCUUCGGGUUGUAAACCUCUUUCAGUAGGGAAGAAGCGAGAGUGACGGUACCUGCAGAAGAAGCGCCGGCUAACUACGUGCCAGCAGCCGCGGUAAUACGUAGGGCGCAAGCGUUGUCCGGAAUUAUUGGGCGUAAAGAGCUCGUAGGCGGUUUGUCGCGUCUGCUGUGAAAGCCCGGGGCUCAACCCCGGGUCUGCAGUGGGUACGGGCAGACUAGAGUGCAGUAGGGGAGACUGGAAUUCCUGGUGUAGCGGUGAAAUGCGCAGAUAUCAGGAGGAACACCGAUGGCGAAGGCAGGUCUCUGGGCUGUUACUGACGCUGAGGAGCGAAAGCAUGGGGAGCGAACAGGAUUAGAUACCCUGGUAGUCCAUGCCGUAAACGUUGGGCACUAGGUGUGGGGGACAUUCCACGUUUUCCGCGCCGUAGCUAACGCAUUAAGUGCCCCGCCUGGGGAGUACGGCCGCAAGGCUAAAACUCAAAGGAAUUGACGGGGGCCCGCACAAGCGGCGGAGCAUGCGGAUUAAUUCGAUGCAACGCGAAGAACCUUACCAAGGCUUGACAUUCACCGGGACCGCCCCAGAGAUGGGGGUUUCCCUUCGGGGCUGGUGGACAGGUGGUGCAUGGUUGUCGUCAGCUCGU
rnacentral:rRNA from 2 species